GGAUCAAUAUGUUGGUCGUGCCUUGGUACGUACUAUCUUAUUGGUUUCUCCUUCUGACGAACCAUCAUGUCGUUUAUUCGGCGUGGCGGGGAACCAUCUCUGUUACCUUGAGAAAAUUAGAGUGUUCAAAGCAGGCUUAUGCCUGAAUACAUUAGCAUGGAAUAACGAAAUAGGACGUGCGGUUCUAUUUUGUUGGUUUCUAGAGUCGCCGUAAUGAUUAAUAGGGAUAGUUG
rnacentral:rRNA from 1 species